rnacentral:lncRNA from 1 species
AGACCUGCGACAAGGGAAGGAAAGUGAGGGGCAGAGAUGUUCAGAGUUAGAAUUUUAGAAGGGAAAGUAAAGGGGGACUAUAGCAAAACACAGCCUCACCUGGCCUCCCAUAAAACUCCAUGUUUGAAUUUAGCUGUCACUUAUCUAUACUUCAUCAUAAAUUUGUUGAGUACCUACACUUUAUCAGACACUUUAAUAUUAGUGCUUAUUGCAUAGUAAUGAUCUUUUUUCUUCUCUCAUCCCCCAGCUGCCUGAGAAUUCUCACUGAACUGAGAUUGUCUUAUCUUUUUUAUCAGAAGAGAGUUUCACAGGAGAAAUCAUCGUGCCAGGCUGAUUCCUCUUAGCGAGAUUGGAUUCUCUCUCAUGAAUGAAAUCCAGACUUCUUAAUCUGGUGUUUGAGGACUCGACAACUGUGGUAAGCUAAGCAAUAUCCUCACGUUAUGUCCAUGCCCUAAUCCUCAGAAGCUGUGAAUGGAUUCUUUAGCAUAGCAGAAGGCACUUUGUGGUUAUGAUUAUGUUAAAGGGUUUGAGAUAGGGAUAUUAUCCUAUAUCCUGCAUGGACCCAGGUUAAUCUCGAGGAUCCUUAAAAGAGGGAGGCAGGAGGAACACAGGUCAGAGAGAGCAGAUUGAACACUCUUCUUCCAGGGCCAUGUCAUUUUCAGAUGCCUAUAAUUUGCCUGAACAUCGUCACUUCCCUACCUCCAUGAGUCCAGAGUCUCCCCAGCUUCCAAAUGCCACCUCCUUUUGGGAUUUUACUCCUUUCCAUCCUUGGAAUUUUACCUGCUCCUGCAUGAGGAUACCCAUAUGCCAGCACCUCAGCCUGCAAUCCCAAGUCCUGCCAGGGCCUCUUAAAAUUCCAGAAGAUGCGCACACAACCCCUGGAAGAAGGCUUUGGGCUAUGUAG